rnacentral:rRNA from 1 species
AGAAUCAACGCUGGCGGCGUGCCUAACACAUGCAAGUCGAGCGCGAAAGGGGAGCAAUCCCCAAGUAGAGCGGCGAACGGGUGAGUAACGCGUGGGUAAUCUACCUCCGAGUGGGGAACAACAGCGGGAAACUGCUGCUAAUACCGCAUGACAUCGUCGAGCCUUCGGGUUUGACGAUCAAAGCCGGGGACCGCAAGGCCUGGCGCUUGGAGACGAGCCCGCGUCCGAUUAGCUAGUUGGCGGGGUAAUGGCCCACCAAGGCUCCGAUCGGUAGCCGGCCUGAGAGGGCGGACGGCCACACUGGGACUGGAGACACGGCCCAGACUCCUACGGGAGGCAGCAGUGGGGAAUUUUCGCAAUGGGGGAAACCCUGACGAAGCAACGCCGCGUGGAGGAUGAAGGCCUUGGGUCGUAAACGUCCUGUCGACCGGGACGAACGCUAUAGGCCCAAGUACGCCCGACUAGUCGACUGACCGGUGGACGGAAGCCGACGCGUAACUCUAGUACCCAGCUAGCCGC